CCUGCAGUUCUUCGCCUCCCUAAACCUAGCCGCCUCCAUCCACUCCCCGCCGCGAUUCGUGCCUCCCUCGCCGGUGGCCGGUGACUGGCUCACCAAGGAUCAUCCACCCACUUCGCUCAUCGCCGUCUCCAGCUACGUCGAGCGCAGCCGCAUCACUGGGCUAGUGCGAUGCGAUAGCCGGUUUGGGAGUAUAUGGUAGGAUUUCAGAACGAGCUAUCUAUGAAUGAAUCUUCCGAAGCUUUCUUUGUCCUGUCAUCACUGCAGGCUCUCCCGGCCGGGCUUGAUGAAGGCGCCCCUGGGUACCCUCCACUGCUUCUGUUCAUGUGUUUGGAUCCCCCUUCACCAAGGAUGAUCUCUCCACCCAACCUUCUCCGUACAGAUCCCUCUCCUGCACACUCUUGGAAGAUCAGUACUGGUGGUAGAUGAGAACUAGUCCUUGGAGAAUUCUCUUUGAAGGUUGUUGCGGGACUCAUGUUGUAAGCUUUUUUUUUACAUAUGUGGUUGUAUUAAUAUUUUUUGCAAGGUGAUGUGCAUGUUCCCAUUUUCCUGGAAUGUAUGAGGAAUUGAUGCACUUCUUAUUUUCUGGUCAUGCAGUCUUAGAAGCUAAUAUUACUAAUGUGUUUUACAUUUAAAAUCUAGUCAUGUAUUGUUCAAUCGGGUAAGUUCACUUCCUCUAUUUGCUUCAAUUCCCUGUUCAACGAAAAACUAGCCUUAUGUGUUGUUUCCUCUACGAAAUUGCGGUGGUAAGCCUUAAUGUUUUAUGUUGGUUUGAUAGUUAGUGUUGAAAUUUGAGUAGUGUAUAGAUAAUUUACCACAUUACAACGUAUCCACUGAUUUUCUGUGGCAAAUGUUCUCACUGGUUCAGUUGGAGUACCCAUUAGUCAAUACUACUUAGGAUCCCUUCUUAUAUUGUUUUAAUAUGUUCGUAAUGCUUACCUAGACUCCCGUUUUGGCAAGGGGCAACUCGUUUUUCAUUCUUUAUUCAUUAGUAUGUAAUUAUCAUAUAUACAUAAAUGAUAAUUCUUGGUGGUUGCUUUUUCCUGAUUUUAGUUCCCUUUUCCUAUAACAUAUGUAAUUGUAGGCUACAAGUGCUAAAAUAACUAGCAGUCAUGUUUAUCUCUACCAUCUAAUAUGAAAGAUGCUAGGUACCACUGUUUCAGAUGGUAAAAUAUACGUAGCAGCCAUGUUAAUUUCUACCGUUUUUGACAUUGUGAAUUCUUGUAAGCUUUGGGCUACUCGAUUGUCUAUAAUGCUACCAGCUGCGUUACUGCGUAUAAUCAUAUUGAUGUCCACUGAGCUUCUCUAAGGUCAGAAAGGAACUUAGGUUUUUUCCACAUAGAUUCUAAAAUUGGCACUUUGUCUUUGCAGGCCCAAAAGAUCAGCAAAGACUACUAUAUUCAGAUAUCAGAAAUGUAUGUUAGAAGGCAGGACAUCCGAAGGAAUAUAUUUAUAGGAUUAGUUAGAAUAUUAUAUUUUGAAGCAAGAAUGUUAUAGUUGAAUGUAAGGAGGACAAUGUUGUUGGUGCUAGAUAAUCUACUUCACAUCUCUGCAUCUUUAGUUAUGUCAUAGGAGGAAAGUGACGUUGUAAAAUAAAAAUUUGUAUAAUGUACCACGUGGAUGGUGUUCCUCUUGGAAUU